GAUGAAGAUGCAGCUCCAGGAGAUGAAGAUGAAGAGGAGGAUGAUGAGGAAGAGGGAGAAGAGGAGGAAGAAGAGGACAUCAGCGGAGAGGAAGAGGAGGAAGAGUUAAAUGACGGCGAGGUAGAUGAGGAAGACUUUGAGGAGGAGCGGGGUCAGAAGAGGAAAAGAGAGCUGGAUGAGGAAGGGGAGGAAGGGGAAGAAGAUGAUGACUGAACAUGCACUCCCCCUAUUGUGAUCUGACCGUUUAACCCCUGUAUAUCUGUCCUAUUGUCACUCUGCGACGGUUUGGGGAGGUUUUCAAAUGGUAGGGGGUGGGUUAGUAUAAACGAGGAUACAGAUUAAAUAUUUGUUUUUAGCUUUUUUGUUGUUGUUGUUGUUUUCUUUUGGUUUGGUUUGUACUUUCAGUUUGAUUCCCUUCAUUUUCUCCAAAAGUUCUUCAAAUGGCUGACAACACCGUGUGGGAAAAUUAUUAUUGUUGGA